UGUGUGUGCGGUGUAUGUGCGGUGUACGUCUGUGCCUCUGAGCAUCUCUGCAAAGUGAUACCCAUCUUCAUUGAAACAAUUGACACCACAUCAUCACAUGACGACCCUUAGCAACUGUUGCCUUAGCGCUGAGAUCCAAACAGAAGUGACUGAGACACUCAGCGGGUCAGGCGUCCACAUGGAGAGAGUUAACCUCUCAAGUUGAUGACCUUUCGUCAGCACUGGGGAAUGAUAGAAGGGACCGGAUUAGAAGGACACGCAGAGAAGUAGGGGUUCCCCUGAAAGCUUUUAUCUCCAUUUCAGCAGCUUCUUGCCUCCAAAAUGCAGGAAAAUCCCAGGAAAGUCCCAGAGAAAUGCCUGACACUGCCUGAGACUAAAUACACCAAAAUGGCAGAAGAGUUGUCACACAAGAAGGCACUACCAGAGGACAAGGUGCAGGGCUUCCCCGGACGCACCCUCUUUGGCACCACGUUGGAUCACAAAGCCCUCACUAAAGUGCGGACAGAGAAAGACCUGUUCAAGUCUGAUAUCCCGAGCGAUGC